AGCUUCGCCCUGCUAAGAAGCGUGUGUGCUUGUACAAAGGCCGUUCAGCCUCGGGAUUUACACUCGGCUCGACACAGAUAUGUGAAGAAUGAAGGGACCCUGCAGCGAAACGGAGAGCCAACCUCUGACUGAGUGCCUGUUUACGCAGUCUGACCACCUGUUGAAGGGCUGUUUGAUGACGAUUUGGACUCCUCUGGGAGAUGAGGACACACCCACAUCUGUUCCAUACUGCAGCCAUUGAUGGUGUUACGGCUCUGAGUCAGCUUUGGGGCAUCAGACGCACACACUGGAAAACCAGCACCUGGACUUCAUGCAGGAGAGACGGCCUCAGUGAUAAUUCAUCAGCAGCUGUGGAGAGAUGCAUUUGAAUAUCUUCUGGUUCCACUUUUCCUUACCUGGAAGCUGAG